AUUGAACGCUGGCGGCAGGCUUAACACAUGCAAGUCGAGCGGUAGCACAAGAGAGCUUGCUCUCUGGGUGACGAGCGGCGGACGGGUGAGUAAUGUCUGGGAAACUGCCUGAUGGAGGGGGAUAACUACUGGAAACGGUAGCUAAUACCGCAUAACGUCGCAAGACCAAAGAGGGGGACCUUCGGGCCUCUUGCCAUCAGAUGUGCCCGGAUGGGAUUAGCUAGUAGGUGGGGUAAUGGCUCACCUAGGCGACGAUCCCUAGCUGGUCUGAGAGGAUGACCAGCCACACUGGAACUGAGACACGGUCCAGACUCCUACGGGAGGCAGCAGUGGGGAAUAUUGCACAAUGGGCGCAAGCCUGAUGCAGCCAUGCCGCGUGUGUGAAGAAGGCCUUCGGGUUGUAAAGCACUUUCAGCGAGGAGGAAGGUGGUGAACUUAAUACGUUCAUCAAUUGACGUUACUCGCAGAAGAAGCACCGGCUAACUCCGUG
rnacentral:rRNA from 1 species